AUAAUAGGAAAAUUUUGCAACAGAGUAUGUGAGGAACAGAAGUAUGUUUUUUUCAAACAUUAAAAGGAACAAAAGGUCUGCCCCAGGCAACAAUUCAUAGGAAGUCCACUGGUACAGAAGGAAAGAUGUAAGAAACCACUAUACCUGAGAUUGCUGGCCAUCCCAUCAGAGGCAGAGAAUGUCGCUGACUGUGGGAGAAGAGUCUGGGCCCAAGGAAGCCACAAUCUCACUUACCUCUUCUUCUUCUUCUUCUUUUUCUUUUCUUUUUUUUUUUUUUUGUUGUUGUUAUUGUUGUCUUUUUUUUUAGGGCCGCACUUGUGGCAUAUGGAGGUUCCCAGGCUAAAGUUCUCAUCAGAGCUGUUCCUGCUGGCCUACACCAGAGCCACAGCAAUGCCAGAUCUGAGCUGUGUCUGUGACCUACACCACAGCUCACAGCAAUGCUGGAUCCUUAACCCACUGAGCAAGGCCAGGGAUUGAACCCGCAACCUCAUGGUUCCUAGUUGGAUUCGUUUCCGCUGCACCACGAUGGGAACUCUUCACUCACUUCUUAGUGGAAAGUCUGGGAGAUGGAGGGAUUCCUGAAGCACCAGGCUGAAGAAGGCAAGGGUCUUGUUGUCCUCACGUAGGAAAGCCCUCUGGCUCACCCAGACUGUCUAGACCAGGGGGUUUCCUCUUGAAUUUAUUUGCCCAGAUCCCUUUGACUCUUUCUUCUAACAAACAAAUAUAAAGAUAUAUUCUUUGUUUUUAUUGCGUGGAAAAUGAAAAAUCAAACAGGCAGUAGCUUAAAAAUGCAGAGUGAAUAUCAAACCUGACGUAAUUCUGUUCUUUUCAAAUAUGAUUCUCUGGGACCUCAAAGAGUCUCCUGAGCCAUUUUCCCACCAUUAAGUGUAACCCAUCUGAUCUUGUUCACUGGUCUCUCCCAAGUUGGAACACAGUACUUAGCUACAUGGUGGGCACAUGCUAAAUAUGAGAAGAUCCAAGGGAUUUAUGGGAGUAUUAUUAUUUUAUGUAGUUAGGAAGAUGGAACUGUGACUUAAUGGUAUGUUUAGAAUGUAUUGGCUUUUUUUUUUUUUUUUUGUCUCUUUGUCUUUUUAGGGCCACACAUGCAGCAUAUGGAGGUUCCCAGGCUAGGGGUCCAAUCGGAGCUGUAGCCACCGGCCUAUGCCAGGGCUACAGGAACAUGGGAUUCAAGCCAUGUCUGUGACCUACACCACAGCUCACGGCAACGCUGGAUCCUUAACCCACUGAGCAAGGCCAGGGAUCGAACCCGCGUCCUCAUGGAUGCUAGUCAGGUUCAUUGACCACUGAGCCAUGAUGGGAACUACUGGCUUUUUUUUUUGGGGGGGGGGGCGCACCUGCAGCAUAUAUAAGUUCCCAGGCUAGGGAUAGAAUCAGAGCUACAGCUGCUGGCCUAUGCCACAACCACGGCAAUGUGGGAUCCAAGCCUCUUCUGUGAUCUCACUCCAAUGCUAGAUCCUUAACCCACUGAGUGUGGCCAGAGAUCGAACCCACAUCCUCAUAAAUACUAGUUAAGUUCAUUACCGCUGAGCCACAGGAACUCCUAGCAUUUACUGUUAUUGAAAAUAACUUGCAUUCUAAUGUUUCAUUGGACAUAGUAAUAACAACUACUAUUUAGUAAAAAUUUAACAUGUGCCAUAUAUCUAUAUGUGUAUGUAUAUAUGUGUGUGUGUGUGUGUGUGUGUGUGUAUAUAUAUCUUUGAACUUGACAAUAAUUCAGCAAAGUAUGCCUUAUUAUCCCUAUUUUACAAAUGAGUAAGGAGUUUCUCAGGGAAGUCAGAGAAUUGCCAUGCAGAGGUGAAGCUAGAUCUGUCAGUCUGGUCUGUGAUUCUAAAUGUGGUCACUUCUUUACCACACAGACAUGGGGCACUACCGUAGGUUGGGGAACUCUCAAAUCAAGUCCUUAGCUUGUGGCCUGAACAUGUGAGUUAAUUAGAGUUACUCCAUCAGGGUACUCAGGGUUCUGAUUCAGGAAACCAGUACUCUAAACCAAGCUCAGAUAAGGUUGACUUCUCAAGAUACCAGUUUAUAAUUUAUGGAGGUGUUUCUAGGGAUGUUUCUUAAUAGAGGACCUCAAACACAAAUAUAUAAAUUUGAAAGAAUUUUGAGCAAUAUUUCACAUAGGUCUUAGUGAGGUCCAAUCAAAGACCUAUUAAUUUCCGUCCUAGAUAAGCAAGUAUGUAUGACUCGUGACUGAAUCAUUUCUCUUGAGUGUAUGUUUCCCUGGAAAAGCGCAGCAGUUUUAAAACACACUAAAAAUUAUUUCUAAAAUUGCCUCCAACAAGACCUUUGUCCUGUCUCCUUGACUCUGAUUGAGCUUAUGACUGCUUCAAACAAUAGGAAUUGGAAGAAACACAUUACAUACCUUCUGUAGCUAGGGUAUUCUGGGAACAUUCAGUCUUGUAACCCUAAGCUGAUGUGUAAGAUGUCUGACCACCCUGAAACUACACACAGAGGAAGCCCAAAUCACAUGGAAAGGCCACAUGAGGCCCACUCAUCAAUAGUCCCAGCUAUUUCAAAUCAUCCCAGAGCUAGAACCAGAAAGGUCAGUGAAGAAACUUCGAGAUAAUUACAGCCGUCACUGCUAGCUUUUUUGUGGGCGGCGGGGUGGGGGGGGACUUCCCUUUACCUGUGGCUUGCAGAAAUUCUUGGGCCAGGUAUUGAACUGUGACCACAGCUGUAUCCAGAGCCACAGAGCAGCAACACCAGAUCCUUAAGUUGCUAAGCCAUGAGGGAACUCUACCUACAGUCUUUUGAACCUACCCAACUGAAGUCCUAGACAUGGUGGAACAGAGACAAGCCAUUUCCACUAUCCCCUGUCUGAAUUCCUCUGAUUGAACCAGAUAAGUGCCUCUGGCCUUCUGCUUUCCCUGGUCUUUCCUAGUCAGGCACACAGCCUUAGAUAUAUGCAUAGUCUUCUAUAUCCCCAGGAAUAUGUUGGACCUUUUCAAAGUUCCAUAUGGUUGUCUUGUGCUCUAGCAUUACCUCUUAAAUUCCCAGCCUGGAUCUAGUUUACCCCAAUCCUAUCACAGCCUUAGGCAGUUGCAAUGUUGUAAGCAAUUUGCUAUUGUUUAACUAUGGGGGUAGGUACCCUUCAUUUCAUUUCAUCAAGCUCCGAGUUAAAUUGCCUAACCCCACAUUCUGAAAAUUAAGAUUUCCAAUGGAACUGCAAACCAUUCUCUGUGGAUGGUACAUUUAAUGGACCUCCAGAAGCUGUCAGAUCUCUCCAUUGUUGGCAAAGCUACCAGCUUUGGUUCUUGUAUCACUGAGCAGGGUAGGAAAGGGGAUGGAAAUAAUUAAAAUUAAAAUGCCACAGACCUUGGAGUUCCCAUUGUGGCGCAGCAGAAACAACUCCAACUAGGAACCAUGAGGUUGCGAGUUCGAUCCCUGGCCUCCCUCAGUGGGUUAAGGAUCCAGCAUUGUUGUGAGCUGUAGUGUAGGCCGGCAGCUACAGCUCUGAUUCGACCCCUAGCCUGGGAACCUCUAUAUGCCAUGGGUGUGGCCCUAAAAAGACAAAAAAAAAAAAAGUCACAGAUCUUGCCACUUUACCCAGAUUUGGUCAUGACCCCAUUGUCUUACCAAGGUGAUGCUGGAAAGAUGUUACCAGAAUCUGGUUUCUUAUUCACACAGCCAAAGAAUGAACUUCACAAACACACAGGCAGAAAGCAAGCAAAGUCUUUAUUACAGGAAAGCAAAUAGCUCCCAGGGCUGCUGGGAGGGUGGAGAAGAGCUCCCUCUCUCUAUUGUUCUGUAAGGGUUUUUAAUCCAUUAAAGAUGGGGGGAACCAACAUGGGGUCCAGAAAGAUGUGAUUUUCUCCCAUGGGCCUUGCGCAAUUAUCUUUAUCAGUCCUUGUCCAAUAGGGGCCUCAGGGGUGGAAAUGUCCCAUAAGUUUCAUGGUUUCUUUGCCUUUCUCUUCCCUUAAACUGAGUCACCAUUCCUCUCAUUCUUUUUCUAUCAGUUGAGGGGUGGGUUAGAGAUUAAGGUCCAUGUGGGCGUAGAUACACUUCCUAUAAUAAACAAGGCCUGUGGGGAAGGUACACUUCCUAUAGUAAACAAGGCCAGUGGGGAUAUUCCUCUCUGGAGCCCUUAAACCACAAAUGUUAAUCAAUGGCCAUAUCAAAGAAUGCAUGGAAGCCUAUGCUCCUACACUGACUACCUGAGUUGUUAUUCUGCCGAAAAGGUGCAGUAGUUUCCAUUGGAAAUGCAAUUUUGAGCUCCAUCUCUGGUUUUGGUUAACUGCCAGAGCUCUGAAUUGGUUUGUUUUAGUUGUUUUACCCAUAUUUUCACUAUUUUAGAGAGAAUGAUUUCACCUAGGCCCUCACUUCACCAUUUAGGAAGCUGAGACCUCAAUCACUUUUUAAAAGAAAGACAUUUUUGGCCUAUAAUAGAAGUUCAGUUUUUUAAAUUAAUUAAUUUAUUGACAUCAUAAAGUUUUUCUAUUAUUUAAAUAAAAAUUUUAGGAUGUGAAAUCCAUGUCAUUACCAAGGAGAGAAAAUAAUACUAUCAACAAACCUAGGUUAAAGGAAGGAGGUUUUUCCAAAAUGAUAUUUUGAACUUCAGGAAAAUUGGCUUUUUGCUAGGCUACUGAAUGUCAUCCAUAUUUGAAUGAUAUGUAGUUUGAAAGAAUAAGACACCAUGGAGAACAGAGUUUAAAUGACAAAGACCAUCUCCUUGACUAAACUGGAGUCAUGUUCCUCUGAGCCUUCUUCUGAUUAGGCCUUUCCCUUGGGCCCACUUCCUCCAAUGUAAGCAAGAACCCUGCUUAAUCAGUUUGGUGAAACUCCUUCACCCUUGAUAUCACGUCACCCUGGCUUGCCUAAAAUCCUGUCAGGUCAGUUUAGCACAGAAUUCCCUACCCUGCAGUAACUCCAUCUCCUGACUCCCACCCCCACCCUGCUCCUUAUUGUAUUCAUAGUUGAGUCUGAUCUCUUUCCCUCUUACAACACUCCAUUAUUGUAGUCCCCCUCCUUAGGUAAAGUCUUUCUUGUCAUCUUUAACAAGUGUCAUGACACAUUUUUUUCUUUGAUAGGAAUAGUCUGAAGAGUUAUAUACAUCAGGCAAUAGCUAUACUUCACUGCUUUCUAGCUAUUUCUGCGAAGAAAAUUUGUUCUUUCUCCUGCCCACCUCUUAUUCUGUCAAUGCCUCAUAAAAUAUGGAUGUGAAACAUAAAUCUUCCCAGCCAUUAUGUGGUGAUUCAGCAGAAUAGGGAAUAUACUUAAACUGCAAUUGGCCAUCUCUGCCUUGACUCCAACAGUGGUUCACAGGCCUGGCACCACAAGCCAUUUUCCCUUCUUAAAUCCCUCUGGACAACCAAUGGCAAUGACAGUGUACAGUGCAAAAGAUAUUAUGCAAAACAGAUUAACUUCAAAUUAGGCAUUGGUGUGCCCAUAGGUAGUAUGAAAAGGAAAUUAUCCAGAAAGCAAUUUGUAUCUUUAAUGAACUCCAGAAUGUGUAAUAAAGUCUGUGCAUUAGCAAACUUCAAUGCAAGGUUUUUGGAAAGAGUAUAUUCAGGAACAUCAAAACAACUGGGCAGCUGGCUGAGAGUUCUUGAGGACUGCUUUAAUGAUUAAACAAGCACUCCCCAUUCCUGCAGACAAGUUAACAUACAACUGAACUCUAUGUGUGAAAAUCCUUCCCUCUUCCCUCCAGCCAAAUCCAUCUGAAGGACUAUGGAAAUAUCCCCCAGAAUAUCUCCUUAGGGACAAAGGAAAAACAUUUGUAAAUGUUUUUCCACCACCCAAGUCAUCUGAGACUCUCACUGGGGCUUCUUAUAAGGGAAAAGAGAAGAGAACAAUUAUUCUCUCCAAGGCUAAGGAAAGAACAUAUCACAAUGGGUGCCUUCUCUCCAAUUCACUCCUGGAAAUGUUAACUUUAUGAAAAAUGCUGCCAGAUAUCAACUCCUUUAAGAAAACAUGGAUGAGGCAGUGUUGCCAUAAAUUGUUCCACCAGCCUCCUUCCUUAAUACGCACACACUCACAUGCAUACAUACCCAUGUGCGUGCACGUACACACAUACACGCACAUGGCAGACUAAACAUGAUGAAAUGUAUUGGUUAGUUUUCCCCAAAACUGUGAUGUGAUGUGGGGAUUGGAAAGAUGGUGUGGCUAUCUCUUAUUAAAUAUUAAAAUAUAAAAGAGAAACUAUGGAAUAUCCUUGGACAAGAAAAUAAAAGAUCUUUGUUCAACAUUUAGAGUGUCCAGUAUGUAACUGGCAAUGAGAAAUUACAAAGGUAAGAGUUCCCAUAGUGGCUCAGUGGGUUACCAACCCAACUAGUAUCCAUGAGGAUGUGGGUUUGAUCCCUGGACUCAGUUAGUGGGUUAAAGACCCAGAAUUUCCCUGAGCUGUGGUGUAGGUUGCAGAUGUGGCUUGGAUCUGGUGUUGCUGUGGCUGUGGUGUAGGCAGGCAGCUGCAGCUCCAAUUCAACCCCUAGCUUGGGAACCUCCAUUUGCCGCAGGUGCUGCC
rnacentral:lncRNA from 1 species